AUGAGGGCAGUUCUUAGGGGAUGCAAACUGUUCCAUGUCUCGAGUGGGGUUGUGGUUGCACAAAUAUCUGUACAUCUUCAAGGGAAGGAAUGGAUUUUAGUGUAUGUGAAGUAUACUUCAGGACAUCUGACUUUUAAAAUGUCAUGGCAGGAGGGAAAACAGCUUCGGAUUCGGACCCUUGUCCAUGAAGACACAUUGAAUGGAAACCCAAGGGCAGACUCGUCCAAAGUGCUCCCAGGCAGGCUGAUGAAUGAGACAAACAGACUCAGCAUACUCAGGGCCUUGAGUGGCAGGCAAAGCUCUCUGCACCACUUGCAACAGAGUCAUCAAGAAGAAGCUUGAAACUCCUUCAAGAAGGCUGCAAUUUCACAGCAUUUCCAUGGAAAUUCAGGUACUGGGAUGUUAACUUUGGGGGAAAAUGGUGGUUGAUGUUUACCGAGUUUGCAGGCUAGUUCACAGCUCACAGAAUGGGCAAGUGUCUGGCUGAAGAACCAGGACACGGGGAUCCCUGUGAGUGUUUUGGCCAGGUUGGCCAUGCUGUGGUGUGGCGUGUUUCCUGUCCAGGCGGGAGCCCUGCCCAGGGUGCUGUGAGGUCAAAGCUAAGAGCACUGAUUCUACACAGGGGUCCUUUCUGUGGGGGUCAGAAGACACUCUCAAGGGCUAGGCAGUCAGAGAUUUGACUUCUGGGCCUCCGUUUAUACAUCUGCAGCAUGGAGUUAAUAAUCCCACUUAUAUCUUAGAGUUAUUGUGAUAACUCAAUGACUUUGCUAUGCAGACACAUAAUAAGCAAUAAGUACUUUAUUCCGUCCCCCAAUCUGCAGCAAAAUUGAUGUGAAUUCACCAAGUACUUGGGAAAAACAUUACUAUUUGAGGGGAAGAACUUGCCUAGAAUAGCGCGUCUCUGGUUUUCAUCCACGAUUUUAAUGCUUUUGUCCUAUUUUAUUAUUAAAUUGCUUUCUCAUUUAAUAUUGUUUACUUGUGUUUUUGAAAGCUGGAUUUAUGGCUCAAUAAGCUAUUUAUGUUUGAGCCUCGGCAAAUUGGUACAAUCUGUCCCUGAUUUUAAUUCAUGGUAUGGUUCCAGUGCCUGUGUUUGCAACAUUUUGGGAACACUGUUAAUGGCAUUUUAGUAAAAGGACAAUUUUAACAAAACAGGUUUUAAAUCCACCAGUGAGGGCUUGCUCCACCCCGAUGCCCACUUCCAAACUUGUCUUGGGGUCCUGCUUUAGGGAAAUGAGAGCGCCAUUGGGAAGACAAUCAAGAGACCCGUAUUCACUACCGCCUGUGCUGGGUUUCCAGGAAGCUUCCAGACAGCCCUGCUCCGGGGCAGCUAGGGCAACUGGGGUGGCAAUUAGGAACCAAAAACUCAACACUCCUGCUUAGAAAAUCGAUUUUAUAAUGCUCUUCGGUACGAAGCCAUCUACUUCCUUCCACUAUUUUGGAGCUGGCUAGGAGGACAAGCAGAUGGGCUCUUGGCGGGAGCCGUGGAGAGCUCUCUUCCAUGUGUAGUGUUGCAGCAGCCCUGGAGGAACUCAGCCCCUGUCCUCUCCCUCUCUGUUCCCCUUGGACAUUUCUAUUUAUGCAGAUGAUGUUAAACUGUAGUGAUUGAUUGAUUGGAGAGGGAGAGAAAGAAAGAAAAAGAGGGAGUCAGAGGGGGAGAGAGAGAGAGAGAGAGAAACGCUUCCGUGUUCUGACUUCCUCUCCAAAUGCUCCCAACAGCUGGGAGUAGGCUGGGCAGAAGCUAGGAGCCAGGAAUUCAAGCUAGGUUCUCUCCCACGGGUGGCAGAAGAAUUAGUUCAUCGCUUAGCCUGUUGGCCACAGCCCAGCUGUGGCCAUCACUGCCACCUGCCAUGCUGUGCGUCAGCUGGAAGCUGGGGUCAGGAGAUGGAGCCCAGCACUCCUGUGUGGGACUUGGGCUACCUGGCUGCUGUGCCAAACGCCCACGCCUAUGAACACAAUUUUUCAAUCAUUUUAGUCAUAGUACGUAUGCUAACUUGUAUUUUCCAUUUUUGCUGAUAAUAAAGCAAUUAAAAAUAUUUCCA
rnacentral:lncRNA from 1 species